rnacentral:rRNA from 1 species
GAUGAACGCUGGCGGCGUGCCUAAUACAUGCAAGUCGAGCGAAUGGAUUAAGAGCUUGCUCUUAUGAAGUUAGCGGCGGACGGGUGAGUAACACGUGGGUAACCUGCCCAUAAGACUGGGAUAACUCCGGGAAACCGGGGCUAAUACCGGAUAACAUUUUGAACCGCAUGGAUCGAAAUUGAAAGGCGGCUUCGGCUGUCACUUAUGGAUGGACCCGCGUCGCAUUAGCUAGUUGGUGAGGUAACGGCUCACCAAGGCAACGAUGCGUAGCCGACCUGAGAGGGUGCUCGGCCACACUGGGACUGAGACACGGCCCAGACUCCUACGGGAGGCAGCAGUAGGGAAUCUUCCGCAAUGGACGAAAGUAUGACGGAGCAACGCCGCGUGAGUGAUGAAGGCUUUCGGGUCGUAAAACUCUGUUGUUAGGGAAGAACAAGUGCUAGUUGAAUAAGCUGGCACCUUGACGGUACCUAACCAGAAAGCCACGGCUAACUACGUGCCAGCCGCCGCGGUAA